GGACUGGUUAGCUCAGUGGUUUGAGCGCGGUGCUGACAACAAAGACAACACCGAUAUCGCGGGUUCGAUUCCCGCUCGGUCCC
rfam:Apaloderma vittatum contig53802, whole genome shotgun sequence.